CAGCAGCCGCGGGAAUACGAAGGGUGCAAGCGUUAAUCGGAAUUACUGGGCGUAAAGCGUGCGUAGGCGGUUUGUUAAGUCUGCUGUGAAAUCCCCGGGCUCAACCUGGGAAUGGCAAUGGAUACUGGCAAGCUAGAGUGUGUCAGAGGAUGGUGGAAUUCCCGGUGUAGCGGUGAAAUGCGUAGAGAUCGGGAGGAACAUCAGAGGCGAAGACGGCCAUCUGGGACAACACUGACGCUGAGGCACGAAAGCGUGGGGAGCAAACAGGAUUAGAUACCCGCGUAGUCCCUGUCUCUUAUAC
rnacentral:rRNA from 1 species